rnacentral:rRNA from 1 species
CAGCAGCCGCGGUAAUACGUAGGUCCCGAGCGUUGUCCGGAUUUAUUGGGCGUAAAGCGAGCGCAGGCGGUUAGAUAAGUCUGAAGUUAAAGGCUGUGGCUUAACCAUAGUACGCUUUGGAAACUGUUUAACUUGAGUGCAAGAGGGGAGAGUGGAAUUCCAUGUGUAGCGGUGAAAUGCGUAGAUAUAUGGAGGAACACCGGUGGCGAAAGCGGCUCUCUGGCUUGUAACUGACGCUGAGGCUCGAAAGCGUGGGGAGCAAACAGGAUUAGAUACCCGAGUAGUCCCUGUCUCUUAUACA